UACGAAGGGGGCUAGCGUUGUUCGGAAUUACUGGGCGUAAAGCGAGUGUAGGUGGUUGUCCAAGUCGGAUGUGAAAGCCUUGAGCUCAACUCAAGAAAUGCAUUCGGGACUGGGCGGCUAGAGGACCGGAGAGGAUAGUGGAAUUCCCAGUGUAGUGGUGAAAUACGUAGAGAUUGGGAAGAACACCAGUGGCGAAGGCGGCUAUCUGGACGGUUACUGACGCUAAGACGCGAAAGCGUGGGGAGCAAACAGG
rnacentral:rRNA from 1 species